CUCUAAAAGUAAAGAAAAGAUCCUAGUUAAUUGAAGGGCUCAAAACCUUAAGGUCCAAUUUAAAAGGUGUCUGAACUUAAUCACAUUAAUGGGCAAGGUCCAAGUUUAUUCAAAAUGUUACGCGCACUCAAAUCCAGGCCCAAUCUAAUUUCAGGCCCGACUAGCAUCUUUAGAGUCCAAUACACAAUCAACAAAGUACGUGUAUUCAAUUGAAUU
rnacentral:lncRNA from 1 species